UAAAGAAAAUAGUGGGGUUGCAAGCAACUGGAGGAAGUAGCUAGAGAUUUAACUCCUCUAUAAGUAUUCCUCUCUACUUGUAUAUAUCCUCCCAUAUCCUUCCUUAUCUAUGAAACCUUCAACCAGAAGAAAGAUGAAGAGGCAACUUCAAGCCCUAAACAAGUGCAUCGCCGCGAGCGGAUAGACCUAAUCAUGCACCACUAGUAGUUGAAGCUGCCAGCAUGAUCUGAACUUUCCUUAAUUUUCCUAUACGGGAAAGACUAGAUCAUGUGGUAGUUUCAUCUAUUGAUGGUAGCAUGGGAAACCCUAAUCAGCUUAAACCCUAUUUUCAUCCUCUGAUCUUUUUCUUCAGACCCCCCAUUAGGAAUCUGUCUUGGAAAGAACACUAGAUAAGUAUCUGAAGUUGUUUAUGGACUAUGUCUGUGUGUUCUCCUUUCCUACUAGCGAGAUGUGAUCUCUUAGGGUUGUAACCUGUAGGAGACAAUUUUUUUGUCUUAGCUUGGUUGGUGCUUUUGAGAUCUAUCUUCUUGUGCCUUGAAGAGAGUGUGCUUUUAUAUUCCUCCUGUACGGUCAUGUCAAUUUCUGAUACUGUGUGUGGGAGGCGUGGGAAUAUGGGAGUGGAGGUCCGGGGUGGGUUUUGUUCAUGAGUCAAUAAAAUUGUAAUCAUGAAGAUGGCUAAGUAAUGACUGCAAAUGCAUGAAACAAUGGACCAGUCCAUAUAAUGAUGAACCAACAUGACAUAAAUCUACGCAACUGGGUCUGAAUAGGGCCUCAGAUCUGGUAGAGGACAAGACAGCUUUUCUCCUCCUUGUCAUCUUCGUUUACAACUGAGGAAAUUCAAGCACCACAGGUGAGAUCAUACAUAUUUCUUUUAUUGAUGAUGAAGAAACAAACAGAUUAGUCUUGGACCUUGUAAGCACACCCCCGAGUGGAACCUCACAGCUCCAGGGAUCUCACUCUAGAAUGCAAUAAAACCCAUUUCUGGAUUCUCAAAAUCUCUCAGACAACCAUAUUUGUGGAAUUUUUUAAGGACAUGAAAAAAAAAUAAGUGUAGAACCAGUUUUAUUUCUCAGUAUAGAUGCAGGAUGGAUAUUGUCAAUUUGUCAUGGAUCUCGAAUUUUAAUAUAAACUUUAUAUCAAAUAUGGUUACACCAAGUGAUUAAUUAAAAAAAAAAACUAUACCAAGCCAUUAAUUUUAUGUUCUAUUCUUGAUUGCAAUCAUUAUAUUAACAUCUAAUUAACCGACCUUCAUCAAAUAUUUCAACUAGAUGACGAAUUCAAAUAAAUUAAGGUCCAAGUAGAAGGAAAGCAUAUAACAAAUGGUUCAUCAGUCCAUAUUUUCUCUACGUGUUUCCAUUUUUCUUCAGAGAAACAACAAUUAUAUAUUGUGAUAUUGUCUCCCAAUUCGUUGUUCUUGACUAAUAUUAAGCAUUUCUUUCUUGCUUUCUAUCCUUUCUUUUGUUGGGAUGAAGUAUAAGAUAUUUGGAAGAAGCUAGUAUGGUCAAUUUUCUACGCCAUGAACGUCAUGGCACUGCCUAAUUAAUAUGUGGAGUCAUAGAAUUUCUUCCUCCAAUUUGGAUAUCUCUAUCAUUAUAUUAGAAGGUGCAUGCCUGUCUGGUGAGCUAGAGUCGUUGUUGUAGUAAUUCAAGGGAAGAAUAUAAUUUUUUCUGACUUGAGUACUGUCAGCUCGUAAUUACAUACUGACUUUUAUUUUUUCUGUGAUCCAUGCUUCAUUUGUUUAACAACAACUCUGUUAACUAGUAUCUCAAAACUAAAUUAAUAGUUGAGAAAUCUAUUAAAAGACUUAACUAAAUGGCUUAAACAUUGGAUUAAGCGAUCAUUUAAUUAUCUCUAGCACUGCAGCUUUCAUAUAAAAUAAGAAUGGUGAAACCAUGUAUAUAGAAGGAGGGAACCUUCCUGUGAGUGGCACUCCAUCAAUGUUUAAGACAAUCUUGUGUUUCUCAUUACUUGGGUUGUUGUAAGAUGUCAUGUUUUGUCUCUGUUUGGAAACUCGAUUUGGCUCGGCUCCAUAAAAGCUUUAUAAGAUUCCCAAAAGCCACCCACAUAGAAGAAACGUCACCAAUAUGCCUCUCUUCACGGGUUUUCUUUUUGUCUUCAUCUUACUUCAGGUACAGGAACACAUGGUUUUUGGGUUCCUUGAUAGGGUUUGUUGCAAGCCAUUAAUGGGACUUUCACAUGAAGUCAACUAACCCUAGCAGGCAUCUUCUCGACGCUGGCAUCGUUUGGUCAAUUACUCAAGUGGGUGACAGGCACAUGGGUUAGAGUAGGAUGUGACAUCUUAUGCCCAGUACAAACCUUCUUCAUAGGCAGUUAUUUCAAAUUUCAAGGAUUUGAACACUUGAGGGUAGGAAUAUUAAAGUCUAGGUUGAAAGAUAUACAGAUAGGUUUUCUUUAGUUUUUAAAGAUUGACGUGAGCCUUCUCUCUGUGUCCCUGUUUAGUACCAAUAAUAAUGUUUUAGCAUCCAGCAGCCUAUUGAGGUGGGUGAUCACUGUUUUCUUAAAAGAAUGGCUUUGAAAAAUGCAAGAUCUUAGACAUGAAGCUUGUGGGUUUC